rnacentral:rRNA from 1 species
UAUUGAACAAUGGGCGAAAGCCUGAUGCAGCAACGCCGCGUGAGCGAUGAAGGCCUUCGGUUCGUAAAGCUCUGUCCUCAAGGAAGAUNAUGACGGUACUUGAGGAGGAAGCCCCGGCUAACUACGUGCCAGCAGCCGCGGUAAUACGUAGGGGGCUAGCGUUAUACGGGAUUACUGGGCGGAAAGGGUGCGUAGGUGGUUUCUUAAGUCAGAGGUGAAAGGCUACGGCUCAACCGUAGUAAGCCUUUGAAACUGGGAAACUUGAGUGCAGGAGAGGAGAGUGGAAUUCCUAGUGUAGCGGUGAAAUGCGUAGAUAUUAGGAGGAACACCAGUUGCGAAGGCGGCUCUCUGGACUGUAACUGACACUGAGGCAAGAAAGCGUGGGGAGCAAACA